CAUAGAAUGUGACGGCAGAUAAGAACCAUUCGGCCCAUCUAGUCUGCCCAAUUUUCUAAAUACUUUCAUUAGUCCCUGGCCUUAUCUUAUAGUUAGGAUAGCCUUAUGCCUAUCCCACGCAUGCUUAAACUCCUUUACUGUGUUAACCUCUACCACUUCAGCUGGAAGGCUAUUCCAUGCAUCCACUACCCUCUCAGUAAAGUAAUACUUCCUGAUAU